GGGCCCGCACAAGCGGUGGAGCAUGUGGUUCAAUUCGACGCAACGCGAAGAACCUUACCUGGGCUCGAAAUGUAGUGGACCGGGGUGGAAACAUCCCUUUUCGCAAGAACUGCUAUAUAGGUGCUGCAUGGCUGUCGUCAGCUCGUGUCGUGAGAUGUUGGGUUAAGUCCCGCAACGAGCGCAACCCUUAUUGCCAGUUGCCAUCAUUUAGUUGGGCACUCUGGCGAAACCGCCCCGGAUAACGGGGAGGAAGGUGGGGAUGACGUCAAGUCCUCAUGGCCUUUAUGUCCAGGGCUACACACGUGCUACAAUGGGUGGUACAAACCGUCGCAAACCCGUGAGGGGGAGCUAAUCGGAAAAAGCCAUCCUCAGUUCGGAUUGGAGUCUGCAACUCGACUCCAUGAAGCUGGAAUCGCUAGUAAUCGCGGAUCAGCACGCCGCGGUGAAUACGUUCCCGGGCCUU
rnacentral:rRNA from 1 species